GGUGGAGAUACCAUUAGUGUUGGUGGUGGAGGUAGCCCUGUUAUAGAAGGCAAUGGCAUAGGGAACAAUUUUCAACCUGGUUCAAGAAAUAAUGGCAACACCAUUAGCAUUGGGGAUGGCGGCAACCCUGUUGUUGAAGGC